rnacentral:rRNA from 1 species
GUGAGGAAUAUUGGACAAUGGGCGCAAGCCUGAUCCAGCCAUGCCGCGUGCAGGAAGACGCAUCUAUGGUGUGUAAACUGCUUUUGUACGGGAAGAAACACUCCCUCGUGAGGGAGCUUGACGGUACCGUAAGAAUAAGGAUCGGCUAACUCCGUGCCAGCAGCCGCGGUAAUACGGAGGAUCCAAGCGUUAUCCGGAAUCAUUGGGUUUAAAGGGUCCGUAGGCGGUUUAAUAAGUCAGUGGUGAAAGCCCAUCGCUCAACGAUGGAACGGCCAUUGAUACUGUUAGACUUGAAUUACAAGGAAGUAACUAGAAUAGUUAGUGUAGCGGUGAAAUGCUUAGAUAUUACAUGGAAUACCAAUUGCGAAGGCAGGUUACUACUUGUGGAUUGACGCUGAUGGACGAAAGCGUGGGGAGCGAACAGGAUUAGAUACCCCAGUAGUCC